CCGCCUGCGGGGUCUCAGCCGGGGUUUAAAUUGUUCUCUUUAAUCCUGGCUCUGGUUGGUCAAGCCGGUGGCCUGUCCGCGAGCUUCCCGGUUCCUGCGUCUCCCUCGGCCGCACAGCUGGACUGCUGAGGCGCCCGGAGGGAGGCGCCGCCCACCCGGUCCGGGACGCCCACGACGGCGACUCCACCCGGAGACAGCGCCGCGGGAAAGCCGAGCGCCCUGGAUCGCGUGACCCCGAGUGUCCCCAAAGACCUGUCAAAAAGUGGUCGCCAGAGUCGCUCUCCAGAGACCUUUCUGAAUUUCUCGCCCAUGAGGGAAAGGGAACCUAGGCUUAUGGCCAUGCACACAGGCUGCAGGAAUGCAGAUGUUCCAUAGGUUCCUAAGGGACCCUUCCCAGAGGGCCCCAGGUUGAAUUAAACAGGGCAACAAAGUAGCUAAUUGUCCCAAGUUAUAUUUAAUUCCCGUUGUGGAGUGAAGGAUUAACAUGCAUGCUUCAGAUGUGCUUCUGGUGGAAUCUACCUCUUCUCCCUGCCUCUUCUGCCUUCCUCCCAUCCUUCCUCCUUUCUUCUGCCAUGUUUUCAUAUGUGUUUGAUCAAUUACGUUAAAUCAUACGAACUUACGCUUUAUGUACAUCAAAAUUUAUUCCUGGCAAAUUCAUACUUUCAACUUAGUACCCUUUAGAAAAUUUCUGUGUUUUACAGCAUUCAGGGGAAUUGUUUUUGCUUGACCAAAGUCGCAAACAUUCUAAGAAUCACACUGAUUGGAGCAGCUUGUCCUAGUAUGAUGACUAGGGGAGUGUCCUGUGGUGACCUAGCUUGGCUAUUAUGGCUCAGGAGGCGAUUGUUAAAUAUUUGAGAAAUUUGCAAGCUAGUUGUUAAUCCAUUCAUGGCUUGACAUUGGUCCUGGAAGGAAAAUUUACAUCAGGGAAAUCAUCUUUCUACCCUAUGGGAGCUGGUUUACCAGUACACAACUGGACACAAAGCUUCUUUGGUUUCAAAGAAAAGAAGAAACCCAUUCAGUUUACCUCAGGAAAGGGGCUUUAAUGCAAGAAUACAGAGGGGCUCGUGGGAAACCAAGAACAGGAACUGCUACACAGUGUGGCCUUGUGGCAAUAGGAUGGAACACUGUGGCUAAGAAGAGGAGCACUGGGCCAGGAGCCUCAGACCCAGGCGGCACUCCCGGCCUUCCUUCCAAUCAGCUCUGUGUCCUUCGGCAAGUCACUUUCCCUCUCCAAGCCUAGAGAUACAGCGAUACACACCUGUAUUCCCAGGAGCUCAGGAGGCUGAGGCAAACCAGUCGACUGCAGUCCAAAAUAUUAAAGGGAGAAUUCCAGAAACAAAGAAUUCCUAAGUUUUCAAUUGUGCCGCAUUCUGAGGAACAUGAUGAAAUCUUGCGCCAUCCCACUCUGUCCUGCUUGAGAGGAAACAAACAGGAGAAGAGACCAAGAGCCCUACUUGAUAAGCCGUCUCCUUCCUUUCCGGCUCCCACACCUCCAAGUGGCUCCUAAGACAGACUCAUUAGUAACAGAAGAAAAGAGACAGAGACAGACAAUAUCGUCUUUGCCCAUCUGAGUGUGCAGGGAGUGAAUUCUUGCUCUGAAGUCACGUUAUUGUCAUCAUCAACAUGUCAUAUUAUCAUUAUCAUCAAAAAGUCUUCAUGCUGGAGUCCGGGUCUGGACCCCUGUGGGGCCAGGAGGCUGCUCUUGGCUCUCAGGGCAGGAAUCAGGAAGCAGUGCUUUCCAGGCUGGCUGGGAAACAGGGCAGGGACAGGAAGCCGGGGAUCCAACCUCCCCCAAGGGAUCACACUGCCAGGAGAUCAAAGCAGAGCUUGAGCCCACACAGAUGGAUUUUGAAAUUCCCAGGUCAGUGUGAUUCCCUGGCCCUGCCGUUCUGGGUUUCCCCUCAGGUCCCCCCCACUCCUGACAGCCCGAGCAGGGCCUGUCACUAGGGCUCUGCACACUUGUAGGAUGCAGUGUCUUUU